AUAACACUCCGUAGCCUGUAGCCUAGAAGAGACAUCCAGUGGGGUCCAGUCCCGCAUGCGCUGUAUAUAAUAUCAUUAACCCAAUAUCUGCACGUGGGGUGAUUUAUAGAUGAAAUCAUCUGCCAUUCACUUUGGCAGUGUUUCGGGUCAUAUUUGUAUAGUGGCGUUGCGCGUUUUAGAAGAUUGCGAUUUGCAACAGUCCGGGCGUUGUGUGAAAUCAGUUUUUUUUAUGCGACAAGUAGCAGCAAAGGACGCAAACCUCGCUCAUGCGCAUAGCAGACGAAGAAGCAGUUAAUGAUCUUAACGCUGCUGUGAUCAUCCAUUAUAUGGGCUUGCAAUACAGUUAAUAAUAUAAAAUAAUAAUAGGCUAUUGUGUUUUGCUGUCGUGCAUAGACCAUUGCUGAAGAAAAAAUCUGCCUGCGGCUGAAUCUAGUUGAUGAUGCCUGAUCUAUAGCCUGCUGCCAACCCCCCUGACUCAGUGGGUGUCUCUCUACAGCUGUCUUAUGUCUGUCCUCAGAACAUGCACCCCUAUAUCCUAGUGAGAGCCCUUCUCAGCAUCCCUGUCUCUUUGGCUUUCUCUUUGGGUAGG